rnacentral:tRNA from 1 species
UGUUUUUAUAGUAGAAUAACAACGGUGGUUUUUCAUAUCAUUGGUCUCAGUUAGAGUCUGAGUAAAAAUU